CAGCAGCCGCGGGAAAACGUAGGGUGCGAGCGUUAAUCGGAAUUACUGGGCGUAAAGCGUGCGCAGGCGGUUUUGUAAGACAGGCGUGAAAUCCCCGGGCUCAACCUGGGAAUGGCGCUUGUGACUGCAAAGCUAGAGUGCGGCAGAGGGGGAUGGAAUUCCGCGUGUAGCAGUGAAAUGCGUAGAUAUGCGGAGGAACACCGAUGGCGAAGGCAAUCCCCUGGGCCUGCACUGACGCUCAUGCACGAAAGCGUGGGGAGCAAACAGGAUUAGAUACCCCCGUAGUCCCUGUCUCUUAUAC
rnacentral:rRNA from 1 species